GUAAAAGGUAUCGCUCUGCAGCCAAUGGGAUCUUCUUAGGCAAGACAUGAGCAAUGCACUAUCGAUGUAGCUAUCCGAAGCUAUCAGAAAGUGUUGGACCGUUCUGGACACAUCUGUCUGAUGAGCAAUCCGGUAGCAUUAUGAAGAAUGUCUAUUCAUCUGCUGCACAGCCAUUGGCCACCUUGGACAGUCCUAAGAAAUGUUUGUUUUAUGCUUCUCAAAAGUACAAAGACACCUGGGGAGGAUGUUGACAAAAGACCAGAGGUGAUUGAAGAAUCUGUUCGCGAUGCCACACUCUCCCGUACAAACACAG